CUUCUGUCUUUUCACCGUUGAGAGCAGGGGUCCUUGAGGUCCUGCUAAGGCGCUGACUUGACCUCCAACAUGCUCAUUAGUCUUCCAUCCACGAGAUACCAAGGAGCCUGCGGGACGUACAGGGUGGAUCCGCUUUUUCGGAAUCAUCUGAGCGCCAACACCAUGUUUUCAAAAUGAGCUGCAUCUUCUGCUGGCUGGUCAAUGGUGCCUGAUAAUGGAGACUAGUGUGUGAUCCUCUUUACGCAGUACUAAUCCCUGUGUGUACCUGCGGCAUAUGCAGGUGAAAAGAAGCGGUUGGCAACUGCACACGUGUCGGAGGGGGCGUGGUAAGUACGGCCCUCCUCGGUCAGGGUAGGGGGCUGCAACAGUGAAGAGAGAUACAACCAGGGCAAUUGGAUACGACUAGAUUGGGAGCAAAAAGGCACGUACAAGCAGUGUAUUAGUUUAAUUAUUUUAAUACAAAAGUUAAAUGUUUAAAAAUGAUUAAAAAAUAAAAGUGAUUAAUUUUAAAAUCUGCUGUAUUCUUGUUUGACGCAGCCGAAUACCGUGUGAUAAAACCGUCUGUCUUCUGCCAUGAGAUCCGUCACCAUCUCGGCGUGAUUCAGUCCAGGCAGGAGGUACAAAGUCACGCUCACAGAGAGGGAAGCGAGGACAUCACGUAGUUUCUCCGACGACGCUACAGGAACGAUGAUGUCACUGGUCCCAUGGAGCACGGCUACCGGUGGAACUCUGUGUUGGAAUCAACGUGACAUGGAAAAUCCAAUUAGCGAGUUUGAUUGGUUUGAGUCAUUUACCAGUGUGUAGGAUGUGUGUGACAUUUAGGAUUAUAAUUAGUACUGAAAGUGUUUCUUCUCUGAGGUGCCCAAAGUCCUAUAAUGUUUUUUUUUCUUUAGGACAUGAUCUCCAAAGUCCUUGUUAGAAGAAAAAAUAAAAAAAUACUUCAAAAUCA